rnacentral:tRNA from 1 species
GCCCAGAUGAACUUCGGAGGUCUGGGGUGUAGGCUUCAAACCUGUAGCCUUUUAAUAGCGGAGUGGUUCGAUUCCACCUUAUGGGCG